rnacentral:rRNA from 1 species
AGUGAACGCUGGCGGCAGGCCUAAUACAUGCAAGUCGAACGGCAGCACAGCAGAGCUUGCUCUGUGGGUGGCGAGUGGCGGACGGGUGAGGAAUACGUGGGAAUCUGCCCAGUCGUGGGGGAUAACGUAGGGAAACUUACGCUAAUACCGCAUGCGCCCUUCGGGGGAAAGCCGGGGACCUUCGGGCCUGGCGCGAUUGGAUGAGCCCACGUCGGAUUAGCUAGUUGGCGGGUAAAGGCCCACCAAGGCGACGAUCCGUAGCUGGUCUGAGAGGAUGAUCAGCCACACUGGAACUGAGACACGGUCCAGACUCCUACGGGAGGCAGCAGUAGGGAAUAUUGGACAAUGGGCGCAAGCCUGAUCCAGCCAUGCCGCGUGAGUGAAGAAGGCCCUCGAGUUGUAAAGCUCUUUUGUCCGGAAAGAAAAGCGCCGGGUUAAUACCCUGGUGUCCUGACGGUACCGGAGAAUAAGCACCGGCUAACUUCGUGCCAGCAGCCGCGGUAAU